UGGGGAAUAUUGCACAAUGGGCGCAAGCCUGAUGCAGCCAUGCCGCGUGUGUGAAGAAGGCCUUCGGGUUGUAAAGCACUUUCAGCGAGGAGGAAGGGUUCAGUGUUAAUAGCACUGUUCAUUGACGUUACUCGCAGAAGAAGCACCGGCUAACUCCGUGCCAGCAGCCGCGGUAAUACGGAGGGUGCAAGCGUUAAUCGGAAUUACUGGGCGUAAAGCGCACGCAGGCGGUUUGUUAAGUCAGAUGUGAAAUCCCCGCGCUUAACGUGGGAACUGCAUUUGAAACUGGCAAGCUAGAGUCUUGUAGAGGGGGGUAGAAUUCCCAGGUGUAGCGGUGAAAUGCGUAGAGAUCUGGAGGAAUACCGGUGGCGAAGGCGGCCCCCCUGGACAAAGACUGACGCUCAGGUGCGAAAG
rnacentral:rRNA from 1 species